UGACAAACAUUUAAAUGAUGGGACCUCUGUCAAAAAUUUAUCACGUACAAGGCACAAGGUAUUGAAUAACUCAUUAUAAUGAGGUGACUAAACAGGGAACUUUCAAAAAUGAUAUCAUAUUCUCUAUAAAGAAGCACACGUUUAGGCAGAAGUAAACAUCAUUCAAAUGACAUGAGCGCUAGGAAGUGAAAGGAAAGGCUGCUUUCUGCUAUGGGAUACAAGCAAAGGCUAAGGAACAAAGACAGCAUGGUUAAAAAUCCAGGGUGUUACCAGAUACCAGUGGCUCCCACUCAGGAGGUUAAGAUCUGAGGAUCAUAGUUCAAAGCUAGCCCAAGCAGGAAAGCCCAUGAGAAAAUUAUCCAUAAGUAACCAUCCCCCAAAAAGCCACAAGUAGACCUGUGGCUCAAGCAAUAACCAGGGACAGUGCUCAGGCCCUGAGUUCAAG